UAUAGGGCCCCCUAAAUUUAAUAUAAAAUUGUCAACCCCCCCCCCUCAAUCAAAAUCAUUAAUUAUUUUUUCUUAAUAAUAUAUUAAAUUUACAUGCACUAUUUCACAAAAAUAAAUUAUUAAAAUGUAAUGAAAAAUAACUGAAUAUUCUAAAUUGAAAUAAAUUUUUCAAUGCCCCUCAGUCAUUUAGACACGGCCCCCAGGUUGAAAAGCACUGAACUAACGUAUAUAGGUGUAUAGAGUUGUUAUAAUGCAAUAUUUUAAGUGCAUUAUUACAUAACCCGAAAUCCAAUAAAUGGUGAUUUUUUUUUUUUUAGCACGCGGUUCAAUAUAUUAUAGACUAUUCUAAUAUCGUUUCUGGCAUCUUAUAUUCUCAGUAGUUAGUAGUUGCUCGCAAAGUUGCAUUUAUACAUUUAUAACAUCUGUAACGAACGAUUAUUUACCAAAUAUAUUUUGUGAAAUAUUUGGUUUUGGACUCGGUGAACAAUAACAAACGUGAUAAACUAAUAACUAUAUAAUAAAAUAUAAUGAUAAAAACAAUAGAAGUAAUAAUUAAAAAUUAUUUUUAGUUUUUGCGUUUCAUUCAUUGCAUGUGCAACCACUAUACUUAUCAACAAAAAACAUUUAUUACGUAAAUAUUCUGAUCAUAAUCACGCACUUGAAGCAGCUAGGAUUGAUGUAUGUACUAAUUUUAGUAAUUUAAAAUAUCACACACGAAAUACCAACCCUACCAAAUUAUUCAAAGUUACGUUACAAAUAUGCCAAGUACUGAUCAUCCAUACAUGCCAAGUAGGAAUGCUCUACGGCAUCAAAUAAAGCGUGUUAGAAGAAAAAAUACGCCAUCUCAUUUUCAAUCAUUAGAAGAUCUAACAAUUCCCGAUUCACUGAGAACUACAAUUGGUGGGGAGUUAUUUUUAAUUAAAGAUUUAAUCAUUAAUGAUGAAAAACUUCUACUAUUUUGUACUAAAAAUAAUAUUCAUCGACUGUCGCAUACUUGUUAUUUAAUUAUGGAUGGUACUUUUUGGACAGUCCUGACAAUAUUUAGACAUCUAUAUACCAUACAUGCACCUGUAAGGGGAGACAAUUUUCAAGUUUUGCCACUAGCAUAUGCUUUAAUGUCAUAAAAAUCUGAAACCCUGUAUACACGUCUUUUUCAAGACUUAAUUGAUUUUUGCGAAGAUAAUGGUGGGCAACUAAAUCCAUAUUGGAUAAUGACAGAUUUUGAACAGGCUGCAAUAAAGGAAUCAAAAGCAGAGUUUCCUAACGUGAAAAACAAAGCAUUUUUUUUUAAUUUAUCCCAAAGUACUUGGAGAAAAAUUCAAUCAUCUAGAUUUGUGAAUUUAUAUGGUACAAACGAAGAGUUAAGUUUUUAAAAUAAGACAAAUGCUUGCCCUGGCUUUUAUUCCACCUAACGAUACAUCUGCAGCAUUUGAUGAACUUAAAAGGAUAUUUCUUCCUGAAGCUAAAGAAGUUGUCCAAUAGUUCGAAGACAAUUAUGUACAUAUGUACAUGGCCGGAUUCGUCGACAAAACCAAAGAAAUAGUACUGUUAUACGCACAGACCCACUUUUUCCACCCAAACUUUGGUCUAUGUCAGAAUUAAUGGACAAUGGAAUUUCUAGGACAUAAAAUACUAUCGAAGCUUGACAUCGACGUUGGUCAACUUUGGUUGGUAAACCUCAUGUUGGAAUAUAUACAAUGAUCGAGGAGCUUCAGAAAAAAUAACAAAGAUUUGACUUAGAAAAUUAAAAUAUUAAUCGUGAAGAACCAAAACCAAAACAGAAGAAACAAACAAUUGACAGAGAGAAAAGAAUAAUGACUGUAUAUAAAGAUAGAUCAAAUAGGAGUGUCUUAGAUUUUUACGGGGUUUGGCUCAUAAUAUAUCGAUGUAGUUUUAUACUUUUUUUUUGUUCAAUGACGAUCAGCGGUCACAUAUGCCGAAUAUAUUAUAAAAUUAUUAAAUAAUGAUUGACGAAUAUAAUAGUAUAAAUAUAAUGUAAUUGUAGUAUAAUGUAUUGUUUGAGUUUUUAAAUAAAAAUUGUUGAAUAAUGAACAUGAUAAUAUUACGUAAAUAUAUUUGAUCGGUAUUGUGAUUUGUCGGGAUUUUAAACUGUCGGUAUUGUGAUUUAUCGGGAUUUUAAACUCUCGGUAUUAUGAUUUGUCGGGAUUUUACAUGUUGGGAUUACAUUAGUCGGGAUUUCAACCCAGACCCGAAUUUCAUAGUUAUAGCCACAGCGGUUUUGGCUUGGUGGUUUUUUCUAUUUUUAUAAUUUUCAACCCUUUUAACCCUUUUAGGGGUUGAAUUUUCAAAAAUUCUUUCUUAGCUGAUACUUACAUCAUAAUAGCUAUCUGUAUGAAAAAUUUCAGCGCGAUUUGUCCAAUGGUUUGAGCUGUGCGUUGAUAGAUCAGUCAAUCAGCUUACUGUUUUAUAUAUACAGAUAGGUACCUACAUGUAUGUAGAAAAACCAAAUGACGUAAAUUCACAUAAAAUAAAAUAAAAAAUAAUUUCUGUACAUUUCAAAUGAUUAUAUUCUGAUAGUAGCAUAAUGUAUGUGAUUUAGGUAAACUUUGUUUUAUGAAAAAUGUAUUGAAACCAGUUUUCAUGUAUGAUACGGUCGUUCAAUGUAGUUCGAUUUAGUUCGAGCUUAAAUGUUUUCAAAAUAUUUAUUUUAAAAUUCAAAUUACUGUUUAACAUUGGUAUUUUAAUUCUUAUGAAGACAUUCAUUAAAAUCUAAGAGUACUAAAGAUAUUUUUUUAUUAUAACGUAAGUAUAUGUAGGUACAUAUUGCUAGGUAAAACUGAAAGUCACUAUCAUUGAACGUUACUGUCAUCAAAUUUUUGAUUAAUGCUACUCGUAUAUAUUAAAAACAGCAUAAUAUACUUAUUUUAUCAUAUAUUGUACAAUAUAAAAUCAAACACACUACAUUACGAUAUAAGAUUGGGCGUUGUUUAGCUAUUAUUGUUGCGCUUAUUUAUGAGAACCAAUGUAUAGAUAUAUUGUCUAUAUAAUAAGCGAUUCUGUGUGUAUAAUAUUAUUAUUAUUAUUAUUUUGCAAUGUGAAAAAAAUAUACCUCUACGACUUCUCUAAUUAUAAUAGCAUAUUAUAUUAUGCUUGGUAUAAUAAAUAUUUGUUAGCACGCAAUGUUGUAAUAUACACAAUUGCUAUUUUAUACGUCGUCAAUCAAUAUCAAUGAACUAUAUAUUAUUUACAUAAACCUACUACCUAGAUAGGUAUAUAUAAUGUGUAUUGGGCGUGCGCUUUGUACCUAAAUAUAAUAUUACCUGUAUAUGUGUGUGUGUGUGUGUGUGUGUGUGUGUGUGUGUGUGUGUGUGUGUGUGUGUGUGUGUGUGUGUGUGUGUGUGUGUGUGUGUGUGGUGUAUUCAACGUUCAAUUCUUUAACCGAUGUGUAGUUAGAAAAAAUAUGAUAUACCUAUAGUUUAAUACCGGUCGGUUUUAACUGUGAAUCGAGCAAGGCGUUUUUAGAUAAUCCAGUAAAUUUCGUUUAAUAACGAAGCAGCAAACAAUAAAUGUAUAAUUAUUCAAGAGGUCAUGCUGUAACAAAAUACCAAGGUUUGCAAAAAUCCGAGACUAAAUAAUUAUGCUUCGAGAGCACAUAUCAGGUACUUGCAUUUAUAUAUUCAAGCGUUUGAAGUCGAGGAUGGAAGCAUCUAUUCGAAAAAUGUCAACCUACAUUAGAAAAGAACAAAGAGAUGAGCACUAACUCUUUUAGAAAGUAUCAAUUAAUCAAGACUAUUAUUAUAGUUAUCUUAUUACAUUGCACAUACAUAUUUAUAUGUCUUUAUAUUGUAUAACAGUAUAUGUACCGUUUGAAGUAUUUUGUGACGACGUGCGGUUAUUUGACAAGAAUUGAAAAUAAUUUUAUAUGUAAAUAUUAUAUAAUAAAUGUGGUAGCCAUAUGCAUAUUAAAAUUUAAUUUAUCCACUGAGGUAUAGAAAAAUGAAAUAUUAUAGAUUCUAAGACAUGGUGAUUUGAUAUGACUCGUCUAAAAAGAAAGGAAUUACAAUAAUGUUUUGAUUGUUGGGAGAAUAAAAAAGAGGGUGUGCUCCAUUAUUAUAUAUAUUAUUAUUUUUAUUGUAAUACUAGCUGACCCCGUGUACUUCGUUGCCGUUAAAAAUGUCAAUUCUAUAAUAUAAUUUGAAUUUUGAUUAAUUUGUUAUUUAAUAUUUGGUUUAACGAUGUUCAAAACUUGGAUAUUUCCAUUGACCAUUUUGUUUCUCAAAAAACUUGUACAAUAACCACUUUAAAAUGCUUUCUAUUAUUUCACACUAAAUUUGUGGUAGGAUUGUACGAAUGUACCGUGUAAGUUACAAGCCUCGAACUAUCAUUGUUCAUGCUCUACGUUUAUCAGUCAGUGAGUUAGUCAGGUAAUAAUAUUAUAGUCAUUCCGUUUAGAGUUGCUUAUGAGACUUUCUUAUGAUUAUGCAUGCAGUAUAUUAUCAGGUAGGCAAUCCACCUGUGGUGGAUUGCGGAACUCGCGAGAUGUGUACGUAAGCUUAUAAUUUCUAACCCUUAAGUUUCAAAGUUAUAUCAUUUUUUUUUCUUACUACGGUGGAUAAAUUACAAUAAUGCGCCAUAUCGUGGUUUUUUUUUUUUUUUUUUAUUGAUCACAAAAAUAACAUCAACAACAAAGGCCAUUAGUUUAUCGAGGUUUUAUAUAGUUGCCUGUUCAUAAAUAAUAUAAUUUGGUAUAACUUGUUAUGUUAGUCUAUUGCUGUGAUUUUUAAAUUUACGGUGGAAAUUGACCGAUUUUGCUAAUUCUUAUUUUUGUUGUUAGGGUUUUUAUAAAAUAUAACAUUAGGUCUACAACUAUUAUAUUUAAUCAUAACCAAUAGCGACCUUACAAUAAACAAAAAUAUAGUUUAUUUUCUUGCUGGACAGUGACAUCAUUGUUGAUGUUUUUUACAUCCAGAUACCGUACUUUUUUAUUGGAUUUUCCUAAAAUUGUAUUACAAUCUCAGGAACUACAUGUUUGAAUUGAUAAAUUAUUUUUGUGUUGGAUAGUCCAUUUGUCAGGAAGGCUUUUUAAGCUAUAUAACAUUUAGCUGCGACCAAUAGAAGCGAAUCAUCAGUGAAAAAUGUUGCGAAAAUGGAGAAAAUAAGAAAUAAUAAUAAUAAUAAUAAAUUGUUACCGUGGAUACCGGAAAUAAAAUAAUAAUAAUCGGUAUUUUUAAUUUUUUUUAAUUUUUCAUGCAGCUUUCUUAAUUUUUUCUUUCAUAAGAAUAUUGUUUUGAUAAUUACAAACACAACAAAAAAAAGAAUUAGAAAAAUCGGUCCAGCCAUUCACACGUGAUACCAUGACCAAGAGAUAUAUGAAUUCAUUUUUAAAUACAGAGAUUCACGAUGUGUACUGCGUGGGACUUCGACUACAUAAUUAAUAAAAUGCCAAAUAAUUUGUUGAACUUAUUCUAAAUGGGUUCCUGUGCUACUUUUGAUGAAUAACAAUUAUAAAAUAAUUAUUGAAAUUAUAUUUAUUUAUUUUUAAUCUUA